rnacentral:rRNA from 1 species
GACGAACGCUGGCGGCGUGCUUAACACAUGCAAGUCGAACGGAAAGGCCCUGCUUUUGUGGGGUGCUCGAGUGGCGAACGGGUGAGUAACACGUGAGUAACCUGCCCUUGACUUUGGGAUAACUUCAGGAAACUGGGGCUAAUACCGGAUAGGAGCUCCUGCUGCAUGGUGGGGGUUGGAAAGUUUCGGCGGUUGGGGAUGGACUCGCGGCUUAUCAGCUUGUUGGUGGGGUAGUGGCUUACCAAGGCUUUGACGGGUAGCCGGCCUGAGAGGGUGACCGGCCACAUUGGGACUGAGAUACGGCCCAGACUCCUACGGGAGGCAGCAGGGGGGAAUAGUGCACAAUGGGCGGAAGCCUGAUGCAGCAACGCCGCGUGCGGGAUGACGGCCUUCGGGGUGUAAACCGCUUUCGCCUGUGACGAAGCGUGAGUGACGGGAAGGGGUAAAGAAGCACCGGCUAACGACG